rnacentral:misc_RNA from 1 species
AAGUCGUAACAAGGUCUCCGUUGGUGAACCAGCGGAGGGAUCAUUACAGAGUUGCAAAACUCCCCUAAACCAUCGCGAACCCAACCCCUAAACAGUUGCUUCGGCGGCGCCCCGAAGGCCCUCAGCGGCCGGAGUGGCCCGCCGGGGACCCCCCAAACUCUUGUUUUUGACAAAAUGGCCUCUCUGAGUUACUGUACUUUAAUAAGUCAAAACUUUCAACAACGGAUCUCUUGGUUCUC